GGUAGCAUAAUCAUUAGUCUUUUAAUUAAAGGCUUGUAUGAAUGGUCGGACAAGAUGGGGGCUGUCUCAAUGUAAAAUUUAUAAUUUAAUGAUUAAGUAAAAAAGCUUAAAUAAAACAGAGUGACGAUAAGACCCUAUAAAGCUUUAUAGUAUGAGUUUUUUUUAUAAAUUAACGUGAUAUUAACGUACUUAAGUUUUCUUACUAUUUUACUGGGGCGGUAAAAGUAUAAUGGAUUAACUGCUUUUUCUGUGUAAAACAAGGAUGUUUGAAAUAUAAUUGAUCCACAAUUAGUGAUUAUAAAACUAAGUUACUUUAGGGAUAACAGCGUAAUUUUUUUUGAGAGUCCUUAUCGAAAAAAAAGUUUGCGACCUCGAUGUUGAAUUAAGGAAACCUUACGGUGCA
rnacentral:rRNA from 1 species